rnacentral:lncRNA from 1 species
GUUUGUAGAAAAAACAACGCAAUUAAAUUACAGUGGCUAUCUUCUCCCAUUGCUUUAAUUUCCUUAAAAGAGGAAAGCUUAUCAAAUUUUAUAGUCAGUCUUGCAUGAUACAAUUUUGAGGCUAAAAUUAAUUACAUAUAUUCCACAACUUCCCACGUGACCACUGCGAGACCUUGAUGUAUUACUUCUUUGUUACAUUCAAUAGCAAAUGGCACUUAGCAUAUCUAACUACUAUAGUGUCAAUUCGAGAUAAUUGUUUGGGAACUUAGACCUGCUUAUUUAAAGGGUGGGGACUCAAUGUUAAUUAGAGGAACAAAGCAACCUCAGCUUGACCAUGGGAAAUCUCAUGCAAUGCCCAGUUAGUCUUUAGGUGGUUUUUUCAAAUUCUUCAUUAUUUCUGGAAUUCUCAGGAAUUUCAGGACAUUAAAGUAUCUGUCCUGGUGACUCUGGACCAACAAGGAAUAGGGGGAUUCCGCACUUGAACAGGGCUAAAGGAAAUGGAACAUUUCAGCAAAGUAAUGAUAGUGUAUCUUGUCCCAGAUCUUCCAUUGGCCCCAGGAAGUUGUAUUUUUCCAUAGUGUACGCCAUUAAGACACAGUGUGUUAUUGACUCAAGAGGGGAAGAGGAAAGUUGGAAGAGAAAAAUUCAAAGACAAAAGUGUGUUUUAGAGAAGCUUGUGAUCUGAGUCAUUUUCAUUUGUAACAGGAAGUUUUCCUGCUCUGUAGGUAUCCAUUAUCUUCAUGAGUUAGCUGUGCUGUUAUUUUGGCAGAUGGUAGUUUUGACAUUAUUAAUUACCAUUUUAAGUUAACUAGCAGUCAAAGA